UACGAGGGGGGCAAGUGUUGUUCGGAAUUACUGGGCGUAAAGGGAGCGUAGGCGGGCUCUUAAGUUGGAUGUUUAAAACCGGGGCCUAACCCCGGCGUGGCAUCCAAAACUGGGAGUCUUGAAUGGGACAGAGGCCAGUGGAAUUAGAGGUGUAGCGGUGGAAUGCGUAGAGAUCGGGAAGAACAUCGGUGGCGAAGGCGGCCUGCUGGGCUGUUGCUGACGCUGAGGCGCGACAGCGUGGGGAGCAAACAGG
rnacentral:rRNA from 1 species